GGUUCCCAACCUACCAGCGCUCGUGAGGGCGUGAUUUUAUGGGGUAAUCUCAGUUGGAGGCGGAAACGUGGCACAAUGCAGCAGGACAUCCUGCGCCGUGCAGCAGCACACGAGGUCACUGAGGUCGACUCUGUUACGCAACACAAGACUCCAGCUGCAGCCACACAAGUCUGACAUCUGCAGGAAAGAACAUAUCACCACAUCUACAUAUCCAACAGCAGCUCCACACACUGUCUCGUACACACACACACACACACACACACACACACACACACACACACACACUAUUUGAUGUCUUUGCUUACUUUAAGUUUGUUGAUGAUGUCUUAUUGAACAUCCUCCUCUAACUCCAGAGGUUGUUUUUAAAAUCUCCCCUGCACAUCUUGCUUCUUGUGUUUCUGCAGUUUUAUUUAAACAAACACCAUCUCAAACAUCCCAUAUCUACAUCUACAAGACGACUCCAUGUCUCUGUGCAGCAUCAUUUAUCAUUCCUCCUCCUCUGCUCCUUAAAUAGAGAAACUGAGAAGCGGGAAGGGGGUUGCUAAGUGACGGUUGCCGUGGGACCUUUGUGGGUGGCGAGGCAGUUGUUAGGACGAGAAGCAUAGUUGCCAUGACGAUGCAUUGACUGUUAUCACCAUUGAGGUGUUAAAACCUCUUCCCGUGUGCGGCCCGCCGGCGGGCCCAGCAGGUGUUUUAUUGCGCCUGUACAUGGACAUUUUUGAAUUAUGAAAAAACAAAAAACAAAAUUAUAUUUUUGGAAAGCUUAGAAUCUCGUCUAUUUUAAUAUGGAGAUGAAAAUCACAACAGCGGUACAAUCAGCUCCCCAAACUAGCAAGUACACUCAAAAUCAAAAUCAUAACUUUGAGCCCACUUACCUAUAAAGCCUCAUAAAUAUUCUCUUUUCAGCAAUAGUUUGAAAAAGACGCUCCUAAGGCUUUGCCAGAGGUCCACACGUUCGUUUCCGGUAAAAAGAUAUCCACUGUGAACAUCGUCACAUCGAUAAAAGUCCAUGAACAGCUGUUGCAAUCUGUGAAAUCAGCUGAUGGAUGUUUACAUUGUGUGAUCAUAAACAGUCAUAACGAAUAUCUCGUGCGUUCAGCGCUGUCCACUUCCUGAAUGUUAGGCGGAAGUUUAGCGUUAGAUUGACACUUCAUUUGAGCCAAUCGGAGCUUCGAUGGGUUU
rnacentral:lncRNA from 1 species